rnacentral:lncRNA from 1 species
GUUAGAUUUUAAUUUUGUAUCCUCUAACUUCGUUACAACAAAAACGGUCUAUAGCGAUAUUUUUAAAUGUCGGUACAGGUCAAAAAAAGUGCUACUGGGUAAAUUACCGACACUUUUAAAAAGUGUUGCAAUAUGUGGGGUCGCUAGGUAUAUAGUGACAGUUAAAGAGUGUCACUAUAAUCUACAAAGAGUGCUACUAAUUUACCAACACUUAGUUAAGCAUUUAGCAAGCAUCGAAACUCUACCUCGUUGGUUGUGGUGGCGGAGGAGGAUGAGAGGAAGGGAUCUUCGUCUAGGAUUUCAGUCGAUUGAGUGAGGGGAGAAGGAAAAAAUGAUAAUCGAUUUUUCUUUUCUUUUUUUUUUUCUGUUUAUAAUCGAGCCGAAUGGACUGGGUGGGAUGGGUUGAGUAGAGUAACAUUUUAUUUUUGGUUGGAUUGGAGUUUAUAUUUAGGCAUUAGUAGAUUUUUUUUAAAAUUUUGGCAUAAAUGGGACACUUGUAUAUACAAAAGUGUUCCAAACAUGUGUCCCUAUAAUCUUAUUCUGUUAUAGUGCAUAGCAUUUUAAAGAGUGUGUUAAAUGAAAUAUAUGCAUG